rnacentral:lncRNA from 1 species
UGGUGGAAUAAUGGGAGUGCCAUUGAAGGGUGGAUCUCACACUUCGAGAGUGAGUUCAAUAGGUGAGAUGGGAAGGAACCACCUGGGGAUUCGGUUCUACAUGCUACUGUUGCUCCGUCACUUAUUGAAGUCAUUGCACAGCACCGAUCGUACUUAGAUUUUGUGAAUUAGGGUGUUGAUCAAUGAUGGAUCUAUUAUAGUUGGAGGUUAUACGGUGAUGGAUCCACGGAUAGUGUUGCUCUG